rnacentral:lncRNA from 1 species
ACCAAAUCCUGUUAGUUCUUUUACUUGAAUACUGUAACUCUAGAAAGCUAUACUAGAACCUUUUUGGAGCUCUUGUCGAACUUCAUUUAUAUAGUUCUUUUAUGUAGAGAAUCUGUAGAUAAUCCUAUGUAAUUCCUAAUUAGGAUAUAUAUUUCCGUUUCCCUUUAGUAACUGUAUUAACUAUAGUAUAUAUUAUUAGGUAACUACUCCUAAUAGGAUUCCUAAAGUAGGUAAGUCUCAUAUGGAGACUUGUGUAUAUAUACCCUAUUGCCUACGGGCUAUCAUAAUAAUAAGAGUAGAUUAUCAUUCUCUCAAAUCUACAUGGUAUCAGAGCCUGGUUCCCUUAAACCCUAUGUACCUUAAACCCUAAAGCCUUCUGCCAACGCUACCUCCGAUCGACGCUAUGACGAACGACAGAACCGUCUCUGUGAGCACAGGCGCUGUCCCUACUGGAAAUAACCAGGGCACAAUCGUACCAGUGACGAACACAGACUACUCUGGUUUCCUCACUACGCAUAAACUCGACGGCAAGAAUCAACCACCUUCCCAAAAUCAGCCAGAGAACUUCUCCAGUCACUUUGCUAGUCAAGGUAAAUCCUCUCAUGCCUACUCUAUUCAGUCUCAACCGUGUGAAACAUGGAUAAUAGAUUCAGGAUGUUCGGAUCACAUGACUGGUUCCAAGGAAGUGUUAACAGAAUUUCAAUCCUAUCCUAAGAAGGCAGGGGUACGUAUAGCUGAUGGCAGCCUCUCUGCAAUCGAAGGAAUAGGCAGAGUUCGGAUUAACCACGACAUAGAACUGUUUCCCGUGCUCUAUGUCCCAAAGUUAAACAGUAGCUUAAUCUCUAUAAGUCAGAUCACUAGAGAUCUAAAGUGUGAAGCUCUAUUCAGUUCUAAUCGAUGUUCCCUGCAGGAGGAAGGCUCCAGGAGGACGAUUGGAACUGCUAAACUCCAGGAAGACCUCUUUAUCAUAAAUAGAGUCAGGAGAAAGGAGGUGGAUGAAGGACAAAGACACGCUUUAGCUACUAGCAUUCUAAAUAGAGAUGAUAGCCACAUUAUGUUAUGGCAUAGUCGGGUAGGAGGAGCUUAUGUUAUGGCAUAGUCGGUUAGGACAUCCUAAUUUCGGAUAUUUACAGUAAUUGUUACCUAAGCUAUUUCUUAAUAAAAACUCCAAGGAUUUACAAUGUGAUCUGUGUCAAUUGGCAAAGCACACCCGCAACAGUUACCCUGGUGUUCGCUACAAACCAACACAGCCAUUCGCGAUUAUUCACAGUGAUAAUUAAGGACCAACGAGGGUGAAAAACAUCAACGGGGCCAGAUGGUUCAUCACAUUCAUAGAUGAUCACACUUGGCUCACUUGGACCUUUCUCAUGAAAGCGAAGUCUGAAACAGCAACAGUGUUUCAGAGGUUCUAUGACAUGAUUUUCACCCAGUUUGGCACGAAGAUACAAGUCCUAAAAACCGACAAUGCUCACGACUACUUUAACUCAGAAUUAGGCAUCUAUCUCUCUCAACGAGGAAUCGUUCACUGCAGUUCGUGUGUUGAUACCCCACAGCAAAACGGUAUUGCAGAACGCAAGAACCGACAUCUCCUUGAGACAGCUAGAGCACUGAUGUUCACCAAACAUGUACCAAAACACUUAUGGGGAGAGGCUGUUCUAACAGCAACUUACCUAAUCAACAGACUUCCAUGUCGAGUCCUGAACUAUCAGACCUCCAAGGAUGUCCUAGUACCCAGACCCCCAAGGAUGCUAGUACAGUCAUAUCCGCAUGUGCAGGCCUACAUGUCCGCCAUGGACCCAAAGGUAUUCGGGUGCCUUGCCUUUGUCCACAUUCAUCAGCAUCAACGGACCAUACUGGAUCCGCGUGCACAGAAAUGUGUGUUUAUCGGCUAUGCACCUCAACAACAAGGCUAUAAAUGUUAUUCACCAGCCACGAGUAAGGUCUUCACCAAUAUGGAUGUGGCGUGUUUUUAGAAAUCCGGGUAUUCCGGCCACGAGUAAGGUCUUCACCACUAUGGAUGUGACGAUUUUUGAGAACUCCGGGUAUUAUAGCAUUCCAGAGCUUCAGGGGGAGAGAGAGGACCCUACUGUAGCAGGAGCAGAAACUCUGGACAUGCUAAUUACCAUGGAUGCACCUGCAAUACCACAGGUGGUGGUAGCCUCACAAAGUUCCCCAUCAAAACAACAUGAGGAACGGAGACAACAAGACAUCCAGCAUGUGUACCAAAGAAGGAGAAGAGCAGAUCCAGAGGGGUCCAAGGAAACUACAACUGAAGCAAGUACAGUUGAUGUGGAAGAUGUGGCUGAACCAGAACUAGCUCCACCACAAUCAGAAAAUGACGAAACUACAGUUGAAGAAAUGCACCAGCCCGUCGACUAUGACUUAUACUUGCCAAUAGCCAUGAGGAAAGGAGUCCGGGAAUGCACUCGUCAUCCUAUUCAAAGGUAUGUCAAUUAUGGUCGUCUUAGUCCAUAAUUUCGAGCCCUUACAACUCACUUGGAUACUAAGCCUCGAACCAUUGAAGAGGCAAUGAAAAUACCAGAAUGGAGACAGGCAGUACUUGCUGA